GUUUCUGGAAGUACUGAGAAAGUCAGUGGCUAAAGUCAGUACAACUAACAGCAGUAGGUAGUACAAUAGCUAUGGUCCGUUUAUGGGACUAUGCGAAGACUGUGAGGGCCUGGAUUAGGCCUUUG